AUGAUCUGGCCCAUUAUUGCAUCUCCAUUCUAUUCGUUGCUUCGUCUCCGUUUUGCUUGUCAAGCUCGAAAUACUCAGGCCUCGGCCAAUGGUGGAGAAGACAGACCCCAGGAAGGAUUUUGCGCUGCCGUCUUCUUUCGCCGGUCCGUGCCCUGGAAGAGCGACACCAGCCAGGCAUUGUAUGGGAAUGAAGCAAAAAGCAUGAAGAAAAUAGAGCAGGUCGUGUGUCAUCGUGCACGUGGUCUGCCUUCCAUUGGCGUUACUGCACCUGGUUAUCUACAGAGGAAGGCAAGGAUAACUAGAUUAAACAUUUCACAAGACCCUCCCAAUUACAGGCACAAACUCCUUCCAAGAUAUUACAAGUGUGGUUGA
rnacentral:rRNA from 1 species